AUACGUAGGGGGCGAGCGUUGUCCGGAAUUACUGGGCGUAAAGGGUGCGCAGGUGGCCUGACAAGUCAGAUGUGAAAUACCGAUGCUUAACGUCGGGGCUGCAUUUGAAACUAUGAGGCUGGAGUGCAGGAGAGGGAAGCGGAAUUCCUAGUGUAGCGGUGAAAUGCAUAGAUAUUAGGAGGAACACCAGUGGCGAAGGCGGCUUUCUGGACUGUAACUGACACUGAGGCACGAAAGCGUGGGGAGC
rnacentral:rRNA from 1 species